UACAGAGGUCCCAAGCGUUAAUCGGAAUUACUGGGCGUAAAGCGCGCGUAGACGGUUUUGUAAGUCGGAUGUGAAAUCCCCGGGCUCAACCUGGGAACUGCGUUCGAUACUGCAUGGCUAGAGUACGGUAGAGGGAAGCGGAAUUUCCGGUGUAGCGGUGAAAUGCGUAGAUAUCGGAAGGAACACCAGUGGCGAAAGCGGCUUCCUGGACCAGUACUGACGUUCAUGUGCGAAAGCGUGGGGAGCAAACAGG
rnacentral:rRNA from 1 species